rnacentral:rRNA from 2 species
UAGAGGAAGUAAAAGUCGUAACAAGGUCUCCGUUGGUGAACCAGCGGAGGGAUCAUUACUGAGUUUACGCUCUAUAACCCUUUGUGAACAUACCUAUAACUGUUGCUUCGGCGGGUAGGGUCUCCGUGACCCUCCCGGCCUCCCGCCCCCGGGCGGGUCGGCGCCCGCCGGAGGAUAACCAAACUCUGAUUUAACGACGUUUCUUCUGAGUGGUACAAGCAAAUAAUCAAAACUUUUAACAACGGAUCUCUUGGUUCUGGCAUCGAUGAAGAACGCAGCGAAAUGCGAUAAGUAAUGUGAAUUGCAGAAUUCAGUGAAUCAUCGAAUCUUUGAACGCACAUUGCGCCCGCCAGCAUUCUGGCGGGCAUGCCUGUUCGAGCGUCAUUUCAACCCUCAAGCUCUGCUUGGUGUUGGGGCCCUACAGCUGAUGUAGGCCCUCAAAGGUAGUGGCGGACCCUCCCGGAGCCUCCUUUGCGUAGUAACUUUACGUCUCGCACUGGGAUCCGGAGGGACUCUUGCCGUAAAACCCCCCAAUUUUCCAAAGGUUGACCUCGGAUCAGGUAGGAAUACCCGCUGAACUUAAGCAUAUCAAUA